rnacentral:rRNA from 1 species
UACGUAGGUGGCGAGCGUUGUCCGGAUUUAUUGGGCGUAAAGCGCGCGCAGGUGGUGCGGUAAGUCUGCCGUGAAAUCUCCCGGCUCAACUGGGAGGGGGCGGUGGAGACUGCCGGACUAGAGGGACUCAGAGGCCGGUGGAAUUCCCGGUGUAGUGGUGAAAUGCGUAGAGAUCGGGAGGAACACCAGUGGCGAAGGCGGCCGGCUGGGGGUGCCCUGACGCUGAGGCGGCGAAAGCGUGGGAGCGAACCGG